CAAUUACAAAAAUGUUAACAAUAUUUAUCUCUGGGUAAGGGGACUUCAGGUGUCAUUCAUUUCCUUCGUUCCACAUUUCUGUAUUUUUCCAGACCUUUAUGGAGUAGGAAAGUAUUGCUUAUGAAGUCAUAAAGAGGGAAGAGAAAUACAUAUAUUCAUUCCCCUGGCAGAAAACACAGUUUCACCCAGUCACAAUUGCAUGGGAGGGCGUGGCUGGUCUUGUGGUUCCCUCGGCCGUGCUGAAAGACCCACGAUACCCCUGAGCAGGAGCAGACUCAGCCCGUGCAUGGGAGAGGCCGGAGCAAUCGAGGACUUCUAGGGGCCCCCGUAAACAAUGGCAGAUGGAGGCUGGUGGCUGAUGUCCAGCUCCCCCGCCCCUCCGUGCCACGGUGCUGAGUUGAUCUCUGCAGUCUGUCGGGAACCCCAGUCGGAGCGAGCCCCGGGUGCCCAUCGUGGUAGACUGCUCGUGCGUGUACCUGACAUCCGUCUCUUUCUUCCCUGCCUCACGUUCCCAGUCCCUGUGAUCAUUUCCCAAAUAAAGUCCCUGCACGUAAAUCCUUAUGCCAUAA